GAUGAACGCUGGCGGCGUGCCUAACACAUGCAAGUCGAACGGACUUACAUUGAAGCCUAGCGAUAUGUAAGUUAGUGGCGGACGGGUGAGUAACGCGUGGGUAACCUGCCUUGUACGGGGGGACAACAGUUGGAAACGACUGCUAAUACCGCAUAAGCGCACAGCUUCGCAUGAAGCAGUGUGAAAAACUCCGGUGGUACAAGAUGGACCCGGGUCUGAUUAGCUAGUUGGUGAGGUAACGGCCCACCAAGGCGACGAUCAGUAGCCGGCCUGAGAGGGUGAACGGCCACAUUGGGACUGAGACACGGCCCAAACUCCUACGGGAGGCAGCAGUAGGGAAUAUUGCACAAUGGGGGAAACCCUGAUGCAGCAACGCCGCGUGAGUGAAGAAGUAUUUCGGUAUGUAAAGCUCUAUCAGCAGGAAAGAAAAUGACGGUACCUGACUAAGAAGCCCCGGCUAACUACGUGCCAGCCGCCGCCGUAA
rnacentral:rRNA from 1 species